AAGAGGUAAAAAAAAAAAAGAGAAAUGGAAACUAUUGAGUUCCAAACAUGGACCAGAGGUGAAUUUUUAUGACAUACACAACUAAUACCUCGAUGAAGCUGAUUUAUUUCAAAGAAGAAGGCGGCUUUGCAGGCUGCCAGUUAUCCAGCUGUAGAUCAGUCAUCUGUUCCAGUGCAUGGGGGUUUUUUCACUCUCAGCAGAAGCUGGAGGACCUGCUUGGAUGAUGGGCAAGAAUCCAGGCAACUCAAAAGGGCCAGGUGGUAGGCUGUGGCCAGGGCUUGGGCAGCUGGUUCCAGCUGGCUGGGUGGGAGGAUCCAGGCCCCUCAGCCCUGCCUCCACCAAAAGGCUCUUCAGUGGGGGACUCCCCCACAGCAGAGGGGGGGGCUGGGAGGAGGGCAGUCAAACACUGGCAAAUUGCUGCUACACAUUUCUAAAAUUUAGUGUGUCCUAAGGAGCAUUCAAAGAUGAACCAGAGAUGACACAGGCAUGGAACUUGUCUUCGAGAGGCUUCAGCUAGUUACAGAGAGCUUCACUUCUAAUGCUUAAAUCCAAAUAAACUUAAAUUAGUCCAUGAUUGUUGGAGGAACACCAGCUAUACAAGGCAGAAAUCCCUUGAUUUGAAAUGCAGCGUGUUUCAUUCCACCACUAAAAUGCCAGACGAGUCGAAGAGAAGCAAACCCAGACCUUGAACCUCCUGAGCAAACUCAGAGCAUAGACCUAGCAGGAGUGGGCAGGCCAUGCUGGGCACCAAGUGGCAUAAACAGGAAUGCCCUCAGCAGCCUUCUUUGUAAUAGCCCCAAAGGCAAAGCAACCCCAGGCAUUGGCACUGUUCAGGAACAGAGUACUGUGUCAAUGAAAAUGAACAAAUUACAGCUACAGGAUGCAACAGGACGAAGCCAGACACAAAUGAGCACAAACUUUAACUCCUCAUAUAUAAACUCUUCAAACUAAACUGUACCUGUUUUUAAAAACUUAACUACAGUAGUACCAGUCAGAACAGUGUGCACUUUUGGACAGAGGGAGGAGACGGCAAAGGAAGGAGCAGGCAAGGCUUUCUGGGGGUGCUGGCCGGGUGCUAUUGCCUGGCAGGGAUCCAAUGGGAGUUUGCUUCAUGAAAGUUUCCUGAGCUGGACAUUGAGGCUUUAUGCACUUUUCCAGAGGUGUGUUAUAUUCACAAUGAAAGGGGUUUACCAGAAGGCAACUGGGGGUUUAAUCAGACCCCAUACAAUCCAAAAUUCCUUUUUUCUUGAGAUAGAAUAUUUAUCCUUAAUUCACUUUGCAGAAAGCCCUGGCGUUUCUUAGAGUCAGUUAAAAACCUCUGGACAUUCCUAAAAAAAUGCAAAUGAGAACGACUGUAAGGCCCACCUGGUACCUAUUAAGAAACCUAGCGCAGCUCGACUGAGAUUCUGAAUGGGAGAGGCCUCGCAUCUUGGGUGAGACACCACAGCUCGCCCAGAAUUGGGAGGAAAAUCUGCCGCAAGCCCCUAGUACUCCCACUCCGGCCAUUCAUCUUGAGGUGACAACUCAAAGAAAAGAGCUCUGAGUACAAACGUGUUUAAUACUGGCUUUAUUUACAACAGAAAAACAGGGAAAGCCAUCGAAGCUGACAAUAGGAGACUCACUAAACCCAGUCUGUCUCCUAGGUCCCCUCAGGGCCCUUCUGUAGCCACCAAGCUGAUGUGCGAUUCCCUCUGCCAUUCCUGAAUUUAUUUCUAUGAAAAAA